rnacentral:tRNA from 1 species
GGGAAUAGCUCAGUUGGUAGAGCCCCGGAUUGUGAUUCCGGUUGUCGCGGGUUCGAGCCCCGUUUCU